GUACGGGAGGCAGCAGUUAGGAAUUUUGCGCAAUGGGCGAAAGCCUGACGCAGCAACGCCGCGUGAGGGAUGAAGGUCUUCGGAUCGUAAACCUCUUUUAGCAGGGAAGAAACAAAUGACGGUACCUGCAGAAAAAGCACCGGCUAACUCUGUGCCAGCAGCCGCGGUAAUACAGAGGGUGCAAGCGUUAUUCGGAAUUACUGGGCGUAAAGAGCGCGUAGGCUGUUUGAUAAGUUUGAUGUGAAAGCCCUGGACUCAAUUCAGGAAGUGCAUCGAAUACUGUCAGACUAGAGUAUAGGAGGGGAGAACGGAAUUCCUGGUGUAGAGGUGAAAUUCGUAGAUAUCAGGAGGAACAACAGUGGCGAAGGCGGUUCUCUGGACUAUAACUGACGCUGAGGCGCGAAAGUGUGGGGAGCAAACAGGAUUAGAUACCCGGGUAGUCCC
rnacentral:rRNA from 1 species